GGAAAGGUGCCCGAGUCGUUAUGGGGUUGCACUUAAGAUAUAUAACAAAUCUCAUCAUGCACUGACUAACCGUCGUCGCGGGUUCAAAUCCCGCCCUUUCCA
rfam:Pseudozyma hubeiensis SY62 DNA, scaffold: PHS21.